rnacentral:lncRNA from 1 species
AAUAAACAGAUAAAAAAUGUACGAAUUGAAGAAAGGAGUAAAAAUAGACUAAAAAGGAGCAAAAACUGACGAAAAAGGCCACACAAGUGCAGCCCAUAAGGACCACACCUGCAUGGCCCAACAUACAAGUUACACGUGUGCACCACCCCCUCAAAAUACUCCCUCCUGUCCUUUUUAUAAGGAACAUUUAGGGCAAAAAAUUUGGUCCUUUUUAUAAGAAACUUUGACCAAUUUUCAAAUGUUUUAAAUGUUCAAUUUCAAUUAUGCCCUUAUUUAUUAUGACAGAGAAUUUAAAAAUAAGUAAGUUAGUUGAAUAAAGAGUAAUUAAAUAAGGGUAUACAUGGAAUAAAUUAAAAUUUAUAAGAGUAUUAAAUGAAAAUAACUAUGUUAAAUGUGCUUCAUUGGUCUGUGUGAUUUUUUCAAAGUGUUCCUUAUAAUAAGGACCGGAGGGAAUACUUGUGCUGCCCAGCACAAGCUUAAUUGUUAAGAAAAAAAGAAAAGAAAUGGGCCUCGCCCAAUAGCUGUUGCACAUGUCUUGGAGAAAAGCAAAAUCAUCCUAAUGGCCAUCAAUGAUCAAACGGUGCAGAUUGCACCCGAGCAAAAGUCCCACAUCGC